CUGUGGAUUUGCCAUGGGCGAAGCCUGUGCAGCGACGCCGCGUGAGGGAUGACGGCCUUCGGGUUGUAAACCUCUUUCAGUAGGGAAGAAGCGAAAGUGACGGUACCUGCAGAAGAAGCGCCGGNUAACUACGUGCCAGCAGCCGCGGUAAUA
rnacentral:rRNA from 1 species